UACGGAGGGUGCAAGCGUUAUCCGGAUUCACUGGGUUUAAAGGGUGCGUAGGUGGGCUAGUAAGUCCGUGGUGAAAUCUCCAAGCUUAACUUGGAAACUGCCGUGGAUACUAUUAGUCUUGAAUAUUGUGGAGGUGAGCGGAAUAUGUCAUGUAGCGGUGAAAUGCUUAGAUAUGACAUAGAACACCAAUUGCGAAGGCAGCUCACUACACAAUCAUUGACGCUGAGGCACGAAAGCGUGGGGAUCAAACAGG
rnacentral:rRNA from 1 species